GACGAACGCUGGCGGCGUGCCUAAUACAUGCAAGUAGAACGCACAGUUUUUACCGUAGCUUGCUACACCAUAGACUGUGAGUUGCGAACGGGUGAGUAACGCGUAGGUAACCUGCCUGGUAGCGGGGGAUAACUAUUGGAAACGAUAGCUAAUACCGCAUAAUAUUGAUUAUUGCAUGAUAAUUGAUUGAAAGAUGCUAUUGCAUCACUACCAGAUGGACCUGCGUUGUAUUAGCUAGUAGGUGAGGUAACGGCUCACCUAGGCGACGAUACAUAGCCGACCUGAGAGGGUGAUCGGCCACACUGGGACUGAGACACGGCCCAGACUCCUACGGGAGGCAGCAGUAGGGAAUCUUCGGCAAUGGACGAAAGUCUGACCGAGCAACGCCGCGUGAGUGAAGAAGGUUUUCGGAUCGUAAAGCUCUGUUGUAAGAGAAGAACGGGUAUGAGAGUGGAAAGUUCACACUGUGACGGUAUCUUACCAGAAAGGGACGGCUAACUACGUG
rnacentral:rRNA from 1 species